ACAUAUGAAAUUGAGCGCCUACAAAAUUUGGACAUAAAUGAUGCGGACCUGAUAUUCUUUCCAGUGCUUCGUCACGGGCACUAUUUUCUCAUUUGCAUCAAUGUUAAAGCCUCAAAACUUGAAAUAAUUGACAACAAGCCCUUAGUCCGUGGUGUUACCAUGAAGGACAAGUAUGGAGAUUGCCCAACCCUCUUGGUUACAGCUUUAAAAGAAUACCUAGCACUGGGGUCAUCUGCCCUAUUCUGGAA